UUUAAUGGCCAUACCACCCUGAACGAGCCUGAUCUCGUCUGAUCUUGGAAGCUAAGCAGGGUCGGGCCUGGGUAGUACUUGGAUGGGAGACCGUCUGGGAAUACCGGGUGCUCUAGGUG
ensembl:rRNA 5S_rRNA 5S ribosomal RNA